rnacentral:lncRNA from 1 species
CUACGGUAGUUUCUACAUUGGCGCAAUCACACUUUCCGGAGACACAAACGCAUGAAGCAGGAGGUGGACAACCAGGAGAACCGCACUGAUUUAUGCAAUCUUUGCUACUCUUGCAAGUCAAAGACCUAGCAUUCACAUUAUUUAAACUAUCUGCAAAAAUGGCCAUUGUUUAUACUUCUUACAUAUAUUAAAAUCUAUAAAAAUAUUGAAAAUUAUAAAAUAAAUAAGAAAAAAUGUGGAUAAAUAAAUACCAAAAGUAGAAAGGAAUAGCACAAGCAACAAAACCAUGGUUGUGGUUGAUGGCUUCAUUUUUCUUUCCUCUAAAAUAUUGCAAAACUUUUUAUUUUAAGGUUGUAUGAUCCUUAAAGAUGAAAUUCUAAGCCUUAUAUAGGCAACAGUGGAAAGAAAGUUUAGGAAAGAAAUCAGCUAGCCUUAUAAUGAUAAUUUGAUUCUAUUUUAUAUUUAGUUACCAGAUUUGUUUGCCAAUAAUAUUUACAUUCCAAUUUUAAAAGAAAUCUUGAAUAAUUUUACACUUACUACCAUAAAAAAUGUCAUUCUAUUUUAUUUUUAUAGGAUAAAUCUCAAAAUUAUACAUGAACUUUGAUUUAGCGUAUAAUUGUAUACAUGAACUUUAAUUUGGUGUAAUUGUUAAAGAUAUGUGACCCAAAUUCUUGUUAAAUAAAAAUACAAGUGAUAAGAUAGGGGGAUCUACGGUACAGGCUGCACAAGUAAAAUCCGUAUAGAAGUAUGCUUCCACUAUUUGAUGUUGAUUAGAAUAAGGUGUUUUAACCUUACUGCACAAGUGAAAACCUAUAAAUAGACGUAGUCGUCUCUCCUCUUGUAUUCAUUCGAAUUCGACAUAGUAAAUUUUCUUCUCCUCUGCCCGUGGUUUUUUUCAAAAGGGUUUCCACGUAAAAUCUAUGUGUUCUAUUUUUUCUCUUUUCUUGCCAUUAUCGACAUUCUAUUUUUACAGUAAUCAUACACGUGAAACUCUAAUUGUGGUUCAAAUGUAUACUUGAAGCUUUAAUUUUGAUUUAAUCAUACACAUUUAAAGAAAUAAAUACAUCUCAAGAAUGGGUUGCCUGAGACUUUAGAUCAAAGAAGUGACUCUUUUNNNNNNNNNNNNNNNNNNNNNNNNNNNNNNNNNNNNNNNNNNNNNNNNNNNNNNNNNNNNNNNNNNNNNNNNNNNNNNNNNNNNNNNNNNNNNNNNNNNNUGUCGGAGUGACCCGUGGAUUCCUAUUGUUGGUCCUUUUCGCAAUCAUAUUUGAUCUCACUCCAACUUGGCGUCGGAUUGCUUUCUUAAGGGUAUGGUCACUGAUGAAGGAUAUUGGAAUCUGAGUCUUUUUCGACUUUGGCAUCUAGAAGAGAUCAUUUAUAGGAUUGUGGGGAUUCCCCCUCCAUGUCCAACAGUUGGACCGGAUAAAGUCAUAUGGGGUAGUACAUCAACAGGAACCUUCACACUCAAUAGUGCGUGUGGGAAGAUUCGGGAAAAGUCGUGGAACCCAAAAGAGGCUAUUUGACAACGUCCAUGGAAAUUUCAAGAUCCUCAAAUGAUUGGAUACUUCAUCUGGCUUGCCUUUCAGCAGAGUCUUAUUACUAAUGUAGAAAGAGUGAAAAGGCGCUUGAGUCAUGAUUGUUCUUGUGGGUUCUGUUGUCAUGAAUAUGAAGAUGUGCUACACGUUUUAAGAGAUUGUCCGGCAGCUAGAGAUAUUUGGAAACACAUAAUUCCAAACGAUAAGGUAUCCUGGUUUUAUUCAGGUGGGCUUAUGGAGUGGCUAGAGGCAAAUUUAGAGAAUUCUCAACAAUUAUAUGUAGGAGAUGUCGAUUGGAAAUGCUUUAUUGGACUCAUUACGUGGCGUAUUUGGGAAAAUCGUACAGGGACUAUAUCCAUAUUUUAUACUUUUCUUUUCUAAUUUAAUUACGAAUGCACUUUUUUAAAAAAAUUAGUUAUCCAUACAUGCUUUCUAAAAGAAAAUUGAGCAGCAAAAAUUAACAAAUGAAAUUUUUUGUAAACAAAAUUCAAAAGAGAAUAUAUAUUAUAUUGUUUAUUAUAAUAAGUUAUUCUUAUUGUGAUAUUAUAGCAAAAAAUUCAAUUACAACUUAUACUAAAUUCAAUAUGUUCUUUAAACAUGACCAUUUAAUGGUCCAAACACGGAUUCUACGGUAGUUUCUACAUUGGCGCAAUCACACUUUCCGGAGACACAAACGCAUGAAGCAGGAGGUGGACAACCAGGAGAACCGCACUGAUUUAUGCAAUCUUUGCUACUCUUGCAAGUCAAAGACCUAGCAUUCACAUUAUUUAUGCUAUCUGCAAAAAUGGCCAUUGUUUAUACUUCUUACAUAUAUUAAAAUCUAUAAAAAUAUUGAAAAUUAUAAAAUAAAUAAGAAAAAAUGUGGAUAAAUAAAUACCAAAAGUAGAAAGGAAUAGCACAAGCAACAAAACCAUGGUUGUGGUUGAUGGCUUCAUUUUUCUUUUCUCUAAAAAUAUUGGAAAACUUUUUUUUUA